rnacentral:rRNA from 1 species
UACGUAGGGGGCAAGCGUUGUCCGGAUUUAUUGGGCGUAAAGAGCGUGUAGGCGGCCAGACAUGUCCGUUGUGAAAACUAGAGGCUUAACCUCUAGACGUCGAUGGAAACCGUCUGGCUAGAGUCCGGAAGAGGAGAAUGGAAUUCCUGGUGUAGCGGUGAAAUGCGCAGAUAUCAGGAAGAACACCCGUGGCUAAGGCGGUUCUCUAGUACGGUACUGACGCUGAGACGCGAAAGCGUGGGGAGCGAACAGG